GUAUAUGGCUAUACCACCCUGAAUGAGCCCAGUCUGAUCUUGGAAGCUAAGCAGGGUCAGCCCUGAUUAGUACUUGGAUGGGAGAAUUUACCUACAAAUGUAAUGAAAUAUAUAAAGGUGCUUUAUAGA
rnacentral:rRNA from 1 species